rnacentral:rRNA from 1 species
ACUCCUACGGGAGGCAGCAGUGGGGAAUAUUGCACAAUGGGCGCAAGCCUGAUGCAGCCAUGCCGCGUGUAUGAAGAAGGCCUUCGGGUUGUAAAGUACUUUCAGCAGUGAGGAAGGUGGAUAUGUUAAUAGCAUAUUCAUUUGACGUUAGCUGCAGAAGAAGCACCGGCUAACUCCGUGCCAGCAGCCGCGGUAAUACGGAGGGUGCGAGCGUUAAUCGGAAUUACUGGGCGUAAAGCGCAUGCAGGUGGUUUGUUAAGUCAGAUGUGAAAGCCCGGGGCUCAACCUCGGAAUUGCAUUUGAAACUGGCAAACUAGAGUACUGUAGAGGGGGUAGAAUUUCAGGUGUAGCGGUGAAAUGCGUAGAGAUCUGAAGGAAUACCGGUGGCGAAGGCGGCCCCCUGGACAGAUACUGACACUCAGAUGCGAAGCGUGGGGAGCAAACAGGAUUAGAUACCCUGGUA